rnacentral:rRNA from 1 species
CCUACGGGAGGCUGCAGUAGGGACUCUUCCACAAUGGGCGCAAGCCUGAUGGAGCAACACCGCGUGAGUGAAGAAGGGUUUCGGCUCGUAAAGCUCUGUUGUUGGAGAAGAACGUUCGUGAGAGUAACUGAUCCCGCAGUUACGGUAUCCAACCAGAAAGUCCCGGCUCACUACGUGCCAGCAGCCGCGGUAAUACAGAGGUGGCAAGCGUUAUCCGGAUUUAUUGGGCGUAAAGCUGGCGCCGGCGGUCGCUUAGGUCUGAUGUGAAAGCCCUCGGCUUAACCGAAGAAGUGCAUCGGAAACCGGGAGACUUGAGUGCAGAAGAGGACAGUGGAACUCCAUGUGUAGCGGUGGAAUGCGUAGAUAUAUGGAAGAACACCAGUGGCGAAGGCGGCUGUCUGGGCUGCAACUGACGCUGAGGCUCGAAAGCAUGGGUAGCGAACAGGAUUAGAUACCCCAGUAGUC